rnacentral:rRNA from 1 species
UACGUAGGGGGCAAGCGUUGUCCGGAUUUAUUGGGCGUAAAGAGCUCGUAGGCGGCCUGUCGCGUCGACCGUGAAAACCCGCAGCUCAACUCCGGGCCUGCAGUCGAUACGGGCAGACUGGAGUUCGGCAGGGGAGACUGGAAUUCCUGGUGUAGCGGUGAAAUGCGCAGAUAUCAGGAGGAACGCCGGUGGCGAAGGCGGGUCUCUGGGCCGAUACUGACGCUGAGGAGCGAAAGCGUGGGGAGCGAACAGG